GUGUAUGGGGCGGACGCUGAUGCAGCCAUGCCGCGUGAGUGAGAAGGCCUUCGGGUUGUAAACCUCUUUUUUCAGGGAAGAUAGUGACGGGACCUGUACAGUAUUGCCCGGACCUUUCCAUGCCAGCACCCCCGGUUAUGUACCAUCGCCGCGGUAAUAUAAUAACGUAGUGGGUCUGACAUUCCGGCCGUAUGCUACCGCUCAGGCCUGACAGACUGCUUGUUUUGAGGGGAGGUUUCAUCCAGUUCCGGCAGCCGCGUUUAUACCCUUUAUCCUGCAUAUGGACGCAGGGUUACAUCCCUGGCCGCCGCUGGAGACUAUAAGUAGGGUCGGGGGUGGGUUUGG
rnacentral:rRNA from 1 species